UCCAUUCAUCUGUUGAAGAGCAUCUAAAUCUGAGGUUCUUAAGAACCCACAAAUAUGUAAAUUUGGGACUGACUGGUGACUGGAAUGGCUUCCAAUUCAGUUCUUUGAUUGAAAAACAGUGAGCAGUCAGAAGAACCCUUGGUGUACAAGCAUGGGAAGAAGGAUGGUGGCUGAAGACGCUAUUUCUUCUGCAGAAUGUGUUUGAGGUGGGUUUCACAUGUUUGCUAGAAGUCUUGCUGGAAUGUGAAUCACGGUGGCAGCUGAUGUACUAUUAGAAGACACUGCUACAGAUGGACAGUUCUCAGUAAUCAGGUGCCUCUGCUGAAAUCAAUGGAAAAACAUCUUGGGCACAUUCAGAUACUGACUUUGGGGCUGGCAAAAUAGUAGAGUCACUAUCACCAUUUAAUGUCAGUUUAGUAAUGGAACAGCAGAAAAACAAUCCUUGCUUCGUUGUGGUACUUUGGAAUUUAUUGUAACUACCCUAAUUUGUGAUCAUGAUAAUUGCUCUAUUCAGGAUGGUAGCAUUUUAUUAUUUAUAUGUCCUGUGUGGUGAUUCUUACACCAAAUGAUGGAGGCCUACUUACUACUACUACUGGUACAUUUUUUUUUCCUAUGGUGCUAGGGAUUAAACAGCUGAGCUGCAUCCUCAGCUAUUACUUGUUUAAAUUGAAGUUGAUUUUAAGGCUCUAGCGUUCAUACUGUGCAAAACAAAAUUUUUUGAAACUCCUUUGUUCAAACUUCCAAGUCUCUUCAAUUAGUUGAAUGAGAAAUAAGCACAUAAAGUUAUGAAAGCAUUACUUCCUUCCCUUUCCUCUCUUUUCCUUUCAUAGCAUUGGAGAUUGAAUCCAGGGCCUCACACAUGCUAGGCAAACACUCAACCACUGAUCUACUUUUCCCAGCCUCUGUUUUAUUUUCUUUGCUGACAUAGGGUCUCACCAUGUUGCUCAGGACAGUCUUGAAUUCCUGGUCUCAAGUGAUCCUCCAGCCUCAGAUUCCCAAGAAGCUGGGACUAUAGUCAUAUACCAGUAUGUCCAGGGAGCAUAACUUUUCAUUUAGCCUUCCAGUCUUAUGUUGGUUUAUUUAUUUUUUUAAUAUUUAUUUUUUAGUUAUCAGCAGACACAACAUCUUUGUUUGUAUGUGGUGCUGAGGAUCGAACCCGGGCCGCAUGCAUGCCAGGCGAGCACGCUACUGCUUGAGCCACAUCCCCAGCCCUCUUAUGUUGGUUUAAAGAUGUUUCACAUCAGAUACCUGCAGCAGUUUAGGGCAACUCCUCAAG